rnacentral:rRNA from 1 species
CCGAUGGCGACCGGCGCACGGGUGAGUAACACGUAUCCAACCUGCCGUCUACUCUUGGACAGCCUUCUGAAAGGAAGAUUAAUACCCGAUGGCAUAGUUCUUCCGCAUGGUAGAACUAUUAAAGAAUUUCGGUCAUCGAUGGGGAUGCGUUCCAUUAGGUUGUUGGCGGGGUAACGGCCCACCAAGCCUUCGAUGGAUAGGGGUUCUGAGAGGAAGGUCCCCCACAUUGGAACUGAGACACGGUCCAA